CCUACGGGAGGCAGCAGUGAGGAAUAUUGGUCAAUGGGCGUAAGCCUGAACCAGCCAAGUCGCGUGAGGGAUGAAGGUUCUAUGGAUCGUAAACCUCUUUUAUAAGGGAAUAAAGUGUGGGAAGCGUCCUGUUUUGUAUGUACCUUAUGAAUAAGGAUCGGCUAACUCCGUGCCAGCAGCCGCGGUAAUACGGAGGAUCCGAGCGUUAUCCGGAUUUAUUGGGUUUAAAGGGUGCGUAGGCGGCCUUUUAAGUCAGCGGUGAAAGUUUGGGGCUCAACCAUAGAAUUGACGUUGAAACUGGGAGGCUUGAGUAUGUUAGAGGCAGGCUGAAUGCGUGGUGUAGCGGUGAAAUGCUUAGAUAUCACGAAGAACCCCGAUUGCGAAGGCAGCCUGCCAAGCCAUGACUGACACUGAUGCACGAAAGCGUGGGGAUCAAACAGGAUUAGAUACCCCUGUAGUC
rnacentral:rRNA from 1 species